rnacentral:rRNA from 1 species
AGAAUUGACGGGGCCGCACAAGCGGUGGAGCAUGUGGUUAAUUCGACGCAACGCGAAGAACCUUACCAGGGCUUGACAUCCCCUGACCGCGUAUGAAAGUACGUUUUCACCCUCGGGUGACAGGGAGACAGGUGGUGCAUGGUUGUCGUCAGCUCGUGUCGUGAGAUGUUGGGUUAAGUCCCGCAACGAGCGCAACCCCUAUGUUUAGUUGCUAACAGGUGAAGCUGAGCACUCUAGACGAACUGCCGUUGACAAAACGGAGGAAGGUGGGGAUGACGUCAAAUCAUCAUGCCCCUUAUGUUCUGGGCUACACACGUGCUACAAUGGCCGGUACAGACGGAGGCGAAGCCGCGAGGCGGAGCAAAUCCGAAAAAGCCGGUCUCAGUUCGGAUUGCAGGCUGCAAUUCGCCUGCAUGAAGUCGGAAUCGCUAGUAAUCGCGGAUCAGCACGCCGCGGUGAAUACGUUCCCGGGCCUU